GAUGAACGCUGACAGAAUGCUUAACACAUGCAAGUCGAUGGGGAAGUGGUGCUUGCACCAUGGUAACCAUGGCGGACGGGUGAGUAACGCGUAAGGAACUUGCCUGCGGGACUGGGAUAACAGCAGGAAACUGCUGAUAAUACCGGAUAAGGUCAUUAAGCUGCAUAGCUUAGUGAUGAAAGGAGACGCCUGCGGAGAGCCUUGCGUCCUAUUAGCUAGUUGGAGGGGUAACGGCCCACCAAGGCGAAGAUAGGUAGCCGGCCUGAGAGGGUGGACGGCCACAAGGGGACUGAGAUACGGCCCUUACUCCUACGGGAGGCAGCAGUAGGGAAUAUUGGACAAUGGGGGCAACCCUGAUCCAGCAAUUCUGUGUGCACGAAGACGGUUUUCGGAUUGUAAAGUGCUUUCAGCAGGGAAGAAGGAAGUGACGGUACCUGCAGAAGAAGCGACGGCUAAAUACGUG
rnacentral:rRNA from 1 species